UACAGAGGGCGCGAGCGUUGUCCGGAAUCACUGGGCGUAAAGGGCGCGUAGGUGGCGGCAUAAGGCUGUGGUGAAAGUCCGGGGCUCAACUCCGGAUCGGCCGUGGCAACUGUGUCGCUAGGGCACCGUAGAGGCAGAUGGAAUUCCGGGUGUAGCGGUGGAAUGCGUAGAGAUCCGGAAGAACACCAGUGGCGAAGGCGGCUCUCUGGGCCAUACCUGACGCUCAGAUGCGAAAGCUAGGGGAGAGAACGGG
rnacentral:rRNA from 1 species